AUUGAACGCUGGCGGCAUGCUUUACACAUGCAAGUCGAACGGCCGCGCGGGCUUCUGCCUGGCGGCGAGUGGCGAACGGGUGAGUAAUGCAUCGGAACGUGCCCAGUAGUGGGGGAUAGCCCGGCGAAAGCCGGAUUAAUACCGCAUACGACCUGAGGGUGAAAGCGGGGGACCGAAAGGCCUCGCGCUAUUUGAGCGGCCGAUGUCGGAUUAGCUAGUUGGUGGGGUAAAGGCUUACCAAGGCGACGAUCCGUAGCUGGUCUGAGAGGACGACCAGCCACACUGGGACUGAGACACGGUCCAGACUCCUACGGGAGGCAGCAGUAGGGAAUUUUGGGCAAUGGGGGCAAGCCUGAUCCAGCCAUGCCGCGUGCGGGAAGAAGGCCUUCGGGUUGUAAACCGCUUUUGUUCGGGAAGAAAUCCUCUGGGCUAAUACCCCGAGGGGAUGACGGUACCGGAAGAAUAAGCACCGGCUAACUACGUG
rnacentral:rRNA from 1 species